GUGACCUCGGAUCAGGUAGAAAUC
rnacentral:rRNA from 1 species